UGCCAGCAGCCGCGGUAAUACGUAGGGUGCGAACAUUAUCCGGAUUUAUUGGGCGUAAAGAGCUCGUAGGUGGAUUGAAAAGUUGGAUAUGAAAGACCCAGGCCCAACCUGGGGAACGUAUCCAAAACUCUCAACCUAGAGGUAUGCAGGGGAAGAUGGAACACAUGGUGGAGCAGUGAAAUGCGUAGAUAUCAUGUGGAACGCCGAUGGUGAAGACAGUCUUCUGGGCAUUACCUGACACUGAGGAGCGAAAGCGUGGGGAGCGAACGGGAUUAGAUACCCCGGUAGUCCACGCCGUAAACGAUGCAUGCUAGGAAUUCGGAGAAUCGACCCUCUGAGUUUCGAAGCUAACGCGUUAAGCAUGCCGCCUGGGUAGUACGGCCGCAAGGCUAAAACUCAAAGGAAUUGACGGGGGCCCGCACA
rnacentral:rRNA from 1 species